CCUACGGGCGGCUGCAGUGGGGAAUAUUGGACAAUGGGCGAAAGCCUGAUCCAGCCAUGCCGCGUGUGUGAAGAAGGCCUUCGGGUUGUAAAGCACUUUCAGUGGGGAAGAAAGCCUUGGGGCUAAUACCCUCGAGGAAGGACAUCACCCACAGAAGAAGCACCGGCUAACUCCGUGCCAGCAGCCGCGGUAAUACGGAGGGUGCGAGCGUUAAUCGGAAUUACUGGGCGUAAAGCGCGCGUAGGCGGUCUGAUAAGCCGGUUGUGAAAGCCCCGGGCUCAACCUGGGAACGGCAUCCGGAACUGGCAGGCUAGAGUGUAGGAGAGGAAGGUAGAAUUCCCGGUGUAGCGGUGAAAUGCGUAGAGAUCGGGAGGAAUACCAGUGGCGAAGGCGGCCUUCUGGACUGACACUGACGCUGAGGUGCGAAAGCGUGGGUAGCAAACAGGAUUAGAUACCCGAGUAGUC
rnacentral:rRNA from 1 species